rnacentral:tRNA from 1 species
GGCCUCGUAGCUCAGUUGGCUAGAGCGUUGGCUGUACUAGAGCCUUUCUCUUGGUGUCGCGGGUUCGAAUCCCACCGAGGCAG